rnacentral:ribozyme from 1 species
UGCUCAGCAACUCCUAUGCCUACCUCCUCGUGGUACUGGCCGGGGUACGAGUAACCUUGAGGUCGAGUGACCAACUCCGGUGG